rfam:Triticum aestivum genome assembly, contig: Triticum_aestivum_CS42_TGACv1_scaffold_223202_3B
AUAGUACUCCCUCCGUUCGGAAAUACUUGUCACAUAAAUAAAUAAAAUUAGAUGUAUCUAGAACUAAAAUACAUCUAGAUACAUUCAUUUCUAUGACAAGUAUUUCCGGACGGAGGGAGUAACAU